UACCCUGGGGAACUGAGGAGUCUGCUCCUGUGGCUUCCACGACCUAAUCCUAACUCCAGGGACUCGCAGGAGUUAGGAUUAGGUCGUGGAAGCCAGAGGCGCCUGGGCGC
ensembl:miRNA